rnacentral:rRNA from 1 species
CCCGUAAAACGAUGUUCGACUAGCCCGUUGGGCUUCCUUGAGAGCUUUUGUGGGCGCAGUUAACCGCGAUAAGUCGACCCGCCUGGGGAGUACGGCCGCAAGGUUAAAACUCAAAUGAAUUGACGGGGGCCCGCACAAGCGGUGGAGCAUGUGGUUUAAUUCGAUGCAACGCGAAGAACCUUACCUACCCUUGACAUCGAGAGAACUUUCCAGAGAUGGAUUGGUGCCUUCGGGAGCUCUCAGACAGGUGCUGCAUGGCUGUCGUCAGCUCGUGUUGUGAAAUGUUGGGUUAAGUCCCGUAACGAGCGCAACCCUUGUCCCUAUUUGCCAGCGAUUCGGUCGGGAACUCUAGGGAGACUGCCGGUGACAAACCGGAGGAAGGUGGGGACGACGUCAAGUCAUCAUGGCCCUUACGGGUAGGGCUACACACGUGCUACAAUGGCCGGUACAAUGGGUUGCGAAUCCGCGAGGUGGAGCUAAUCCCAUAAAGCCGGUCUCAGUCCGGAUCGGAGUCUGCAACUCGAC